rnacentral:rRNA from 1 species
AUAUUGGCCAAAGGAAAGAUUUUGGUUGGCCAUAGCUUAUAUAGAGAUCUAUAUGCUCUGAAGUUUGAUUACAGUCGAGUCAUUGAUACGGCAUACAUCUUUAAGUAUGCGAAUUUACCUACUACUUCAUCAGCUUCUUUGAACAGCCUUUGCAAGUCUGUUUGUGGGUAUUCCGUUCGGGAAGACGGAGAACCACAUAACUGCUUGAAGGAUGCAGAAGCUGCGAUGAAUCUAGUUACUGCAAAGCUCAAGCAUGGAUUUAAUGAUCCCAUCGAAAUUGCGGAGAAUAGUGUAAGAGUUGAAAGGAAGUUCUUAGUCCUUCCCGUUGUUAUUCAAGUUGCAACAUGA